GUAUUUUUAUUAUGUUAUAUUGAUAGUGGAAAAUAAUCCACUUGGCUUUUUUUUAAAUGAAUCUCAUUCGUUGUAAAAGUUUUGUUUUAUAUUUACUUAGACUAGACUUUCAAAAUUUAGAAUUUACUUUUGAAAGUUAUCUAUACAAAUCAGCUUCCAUUAAUAGGAAACCUAAUCACUAUAACAGUUGCUGUAUUUAUACUGUUUUAAGUUAAAUAUGACAAAUUGUAUCAAUUUGAUUUAAAAAUUCAUGCUACAACCCAUCUUUGAUAGCUAUCUGUAAGACUAUCUCUCCGGGCACUCCUGCUCAACGAAACUGACCACCACAAAGUAGCACAACCAUGUUAGACUGAGUGAUGUAAACAAUCUUUAGUUUCGUUUAAACGGUAUUUAUAAAUGAAAAAUUAUAACAAUGAACAGACGAAAGAAAUUCUUGAUGCGGUAGAUUUGUAUAUACAUGUACUAUGAUAAAAAGAACUAUUCUAGAAGAUAAACUAUAACAAACCAUAUAUAUAUAUAAGAAAAAGAAUUAUAACACAAAUAUGGUUAAAAACUCAAAUGAAACUACAACUUUAUGAAAAAUGUUUUCACAGUAUGAAAAAAGUUUUCACAGUAUAUAAAAUGUUUUCACAGUCUGAACUCAAAUGUUACAAAAACACCACAUAAGUAAGCCACAGCGAUUACAAUACAAUUAAAAGUAAAAAAUCAUUAACACAUACCUAUGAAUAAUUGUUUACUCUCUGAGUUGGGGGUAAAACAGAGAACAGAAAGUUAAAGACAAACUCUUAACACCUGCAUGAGCCUAGGCUCCGUUAUGGAGACCGUAUCUUGACCUAUACAGGUUUACUUUUACUUUUUUAUAAAGUCAGGAAUAUGGCCAUUGUUAUAUUAUAGGUCGUUUCUGUGUGUGUUACAUUUUAACGUUGCGUCGUUUGUUUUCUCUUAUUUUUGAGUGUAAAUUCACAUUGCGAUAAGACGUGUCACGGUACUUGUCUAUCCCAAAUUCAUAUAUUUGGUUUUGAUGUUAUAUUUGUUAUAUUUGUUAUUCUCGUGGGAUUUUGUCUGAUGCUUGGUCCGUUUCUGUGUGUGUUACAUUGUAGUGUUGUGUCAUUGUUUCCUCUUAAUUUAAUGCGUUUCCUCAGUUUUAGUGAAAACCCGAUUUUGUUUUUUGUCCAUGGAUUUAUGAGUUUGAACAGCGGUAUACUACUGUUGCCUUUAUUUAUAAAUUGUGACUUUGAUACAGGGUUAUCUCAUUGGCACUCAUACCACAUCUUCCUAUAUCUAUAUAACCUUUAUUAAAAGAACCUUAAUGAAAAAUUAUUGAAGAUAAAAUAAUAAACCACAAUUAUUGUCCCCCCCCCCCGAACCAUUAAUCAUAUGGACAAGUCACAACUGCAUCGUUAACGGUCUAAUGUGUU
rnacentral:lncRNA from 1 species